rnacentral:rRNA from 1 species
AGAGUUUGAUCCUGGCUCAGGACGAACGCUGGCGGCGUGCCUAAUACAUGCAAGUCGAGCGGACGGAUGGGAGCUUGCUCCCUGAAGUCAGCGGCGGACGGGUGAGUAACACGUGGGCAACCUGCCUGUAAGACUGGGAUAACUCCGGGAAACCGGGGCUAAUACCGGAUAACUCUUUCCCUCACAUGAGGGAAAGCUGAAAGAUGGUUUCGGCUAUCACUUACAGAUGGGCCCGCGGCGCAUUAGCUAGUUGGUGAGGUAACGGCUCACCAAGGCCACGAUGCGUAGCCGACCUGAGAGGGUGAUCGGCCACACUGGGACUGAGACACGGCCCAGACUCCUACGGGAGGCAGCAGUAGGGAAUCUUCCGCAAUGGACGAAAGUCUGACGGAGCAACGCCGCGUGAGUGAUGAAGGUUUUCGGAUCGUAAAACUCUGUUGUCAGGGAAGAACAAGUACCGGAGUAACUGCUGGUACCUUGACGGUACCUGACCAGAAAGCCACGGCUAACUACGUGCCAGCAGCCGCGGUAAUACGUAGGUGGCAAGCGUUGUCCGGAAUUAUUGGGCGUAAAGCGCGCGCAGGCGGUUCCUUAAGUCUGAUGUGAAAGCCCCCGGCUCAACCGGGGGAGGGUCAUUGG